GUGCUUGCUUCAGCAGCACACAUACUAAAAUUGGAACAAUACAAAGAUUAGCAUGGCCCCUGCACAAGGAUGACACACAAAUUUGUGAAGCGUUCCAUAUUUAA
ensembl:snRNA U6 U6 spliceosomal RNA